rnacentral:misc_RNA from 1 species
ACACGCGUAGACAGGCAGAGAGACAGACGCGCGUGUAAAAAGGGCUAAGUGCUGCUAACUGCUAGCAGAAAUCCAGGACUCAAGGACACGUUCGGUCGGAAUUAGAGACGCAAGCAAGCAGCGACCAUGUCCGGAAUUGCUAUCACACGGCUCGGGGAGGAGCGAAAGGCCUGGAGGAAGGAUCACCCGUUCGGGUUCGUCGCCCGACCCGCCAAGAACCCCGACGGCACCCUCAACCUGAUGAUCUGGGAGUGCGCAAUUCCCGGCAAGAAGUCCACCCCCUGGGAGGGCGGCCUGUACAAGCUGCGUAUGAUCUUCAAGGACGACUACCCCACCUCGCCGCCCAAGUGCAAGUUCGAGCCACCGCUGUUUCACCCGAACGUCUAUCCCUCGGGCACCGUCUGCCUGUCGCUGCUGGACGAGGAGAAGGACUGGCGCCCCGCCAUCACCAUCAAGCAAAUCCUGCUGGGCAUCCAGGACCUGCUCAACGAGCCGAACAUCAAGGACCCGGCCCAGGCGGAGGCCUACACCAUCUACUGCCAGAACCGGCUGGAGUACGAGAAGCGGGUUCGCGCCCAGGCCCGCGCCAUGGCGGCCUCCGAGUAGUCGGGCUCCUGCCAGUCACCUUCCCCACAUAGACAUUAACAAAUACACACACAUCUAGCCGCUUGUACCAUCUGAAUAAAUCCUAAUAAGUCCUGUAAUUUUUUGAAGAGCCCCAAAGUGGCUACGUGGCACCCAGUAACCGAAGCUCAUUCUCAUCUUCGAUUCUGGGUGCAUAUCUGAUUAUUCUACGGUCUAUUUUGUAUCGCAAGUACUACGUACAAACACAUGUAAUUUCAAUAAAAAUGUAUUAGUUGUAAAA